CUGCCUGGGGCGGUUGCGGGAGGUACUUCGGAGCCGGGCUGGCCCGGGCUGGCCGUGGCCAUGAACUUCUCGGAGUCAUUCAAGCUCUCGGGCCUGCUCUGCAGGUUCUCCCCGGACGGCAAGUACCUGGCUUCCUGUGUCCAGUACCGAUUAGUGAUCCGGGAUGUGACGACCCUUCAGAUCCUUCAGUUGUACACAUGCCUGGACCAGAUCCAGCACAUAGAGUGGUCUGCAGACUCCCUCUUCAUCCUGUGUGCCAUGUACAGGCGGGGGCUUGUGCAGGUCUGGUCACUCGAGCAGCCAGAAUGGCACUGCAAGAUCGACGAGGGCUCUGCGGGGCUGGUCGCUUCCUGCUGGAGUCCAGAUGGCCGCCACAUCCUGAACACAACCGAAUUUCAUCUGCGAAUCACGGUCUGGUCCCUGUGCACCAAAUCUGUAUCUUACAUCAAGUAUCCCAAGGCCUGCCAGCAGGGACUAACUUUCACCAGGGAUGGCCGCUACCUGGCCUUAGCAGAGAGGCGGGACUGCAGGGACUAUGUCAGCAUCUUUGUGUGCAGUGACUGGCAGCUCCUCCGGCACUUUGACACAGACACCCAGGAUCUCACAGGGAUCGAGUGGGCCCCGAAUGGCUGUGUACUGGCCGCGUGGGACACCUGCUUGGAGGUAUAGCACAUGACCAGCAGCACAGUCCCUUUCAGGAAUGUUCACCUGCAGUACAAGGUUCUGCUGUACUCCUUGGACGGCCGCCUGCUGUCAGCAUACUGUGCCUAUGAAUGGUCCCUGGGCAUCAAGUCUGUGGCUUGGAGCCCCAGCAGUCAGUUCCUGGCCAUUGGGAGCUACGAUGGAAAGGUGCGCCUCCUAAAUCACGUGACCUGGAAGAUGAUAACUGAGUUUGGGCAUCCUGCAACCAUUAACAACCCCAAGACAGUUGUGUAUAAGGAAGCUGAGAAGAGCCCACUGCUGGGGUUGGGCCACCUGUCCUUCCCGCCGCCCCGAGCAAUGGCUGGUGCCCUCUCUACCUCAGAGAGCAAAUAUGAGAUCGCCUCGGGACCAGUUUCCUUGCAGACUCUGAAGCCAGUAGCUGACAGAGCGAACCCGAGGAUGGGUGUAGGGAUGCUGGCUUUCAGCUCUGACAGCUACUUCCUGGCAUCAAGAAAUGGUCAGUGCCACACUCAUUUCGUAGGCAGGGUCAGCUGCUCGCGGCCCUUUGAGGCGGAGAGUAGAGAUGAACCGAGAAGCAAAGGGGCAGCUGUGUGCUCCUCUCCCUGGUUCCUGCAGAAAUGGGCGUUCAGCACAGCAGCUCCUUUCUGCACAGCAGCUCCUUGCCCAUGGCCUGGCCGCCUGGCUGCUCCCUCCUGCACUCCUCACUGUGCAAGAACAGGGCUUACCUCUAGUUUUGUUUGCAUUUUUUGGGGGGGGUGCCUCUGUGUUUUUAAUAGUUUAUCUCCUUUAUAUACUUUGUAUCUUGACCACAGCCUCCCUCCUUCCUCGCCUCCCAGUCCCACCCAUACAAAUCCUUCCCCAUUGCCCUGUCCCCUCCUCCUCAGAGGAGGCGCCCUCCCCCCACCCCCACCCUGGGGCAGGACUAAGCACACUUCUCCCACUGAGGCCCAACUCGGCAGUCCAGGUAGGGGAAAGGGAUCCAGGGGCAGGGGCUGGACCUAGGCCUCCACACUGUAGGAAAUGUACAGUUGGUCUUCUUGUGGGCUCCCUAACAAGUGAAGUGGGGGGCUGUCUUGUUUGCAUUUUGUACAUCUACAGAUGUAAAAACCACAGGAAGAAGAGGUGUGGCUUUGGCAGGCCAUGUCUUUGUUCUGGGUGCUGGUCCCUGAGAACAGCCAGAGGGCUGGCAGUGCCAGCACUGACAUGUGUCCCGUCUCUGCUUCCUUGCAGACAAUGUCCCCAAUGCUGUCUGGAUCUGGGACAUUCAAAAGCUGAAGCUGUUUGUGGUACUAGAGCAUAUGUCUCCAGUGCGCUCAUUUCAGUGGGACCCACAGCAGCCGAGGCUGGCCAUCUGCACAGGAGGAAGCAAGGUGUACCUGUGGUCCCCAGCAGGCUGCGUGUCGGUGCAGGUGCCUGGGGAAGGUGACUUUCCAGUGCUCGGACUGUGCUGGCACUUAAGUGGGGAUUCCUUGGCCCUCCUUAGUAAGGACCACUUCUGUCUCUGCUUCCUGGAGACCAAGGAGAGGGUUGGCACAGCCUACGAACAGCGGGACGGCAUGCCUAGGACCUGAGUGGAAACCAAGGCAGUAGACUGCUGAUUCCAACGUGAGCUAACGGCUGCACAGGUUCUCCAGAUGGGAUGGGCUAUUCUGCCCAGUUUUCUGUAAAUAUGUAUAAAGUUAUGUAAAGUAGGUAUUUGCUAAUCCAUUGAA